rnacentral:rRNA from 1 species
UACGGGGGGGGCAAGCGUUGUUCGGAAUUACUGGGCGUAAAGGGCUCGUAGGUGGCCAACUAAGUCAGACGUGAAAUCCCUCAGCUUAACUGGGGAACUGCGUCUGAUACUGGAUGGCUUGAGUUUGGGAGAGGGACGCGGAAUUCCAGGUGUAGCGGUGAGAUGCGUAGAUAUCUGGAGGAACACCGGUGGCGAAGGCGGCGUCCUGGACCAACACUGACACUGAUGAGCGAAAGCCAGGGGAGCAAACGGG